rnacentral:rRNA from 1 species
UACAGAGGGUGCGAGCGUUGUUCGGAAUUAUUGGGCGUAAAGGGCGCGUAGGCGGUGCGGUAAGUCACCUGUGAAAUCUCCUGGCUCAACUGGGAGCUUGCAGGCGAAACUGCCGUGCUGGAGUGUGGGAGAGGAGAGUGGAAUUCCUGGUGUAGCGGUGAAAUGCGCAGAUAUCAGGAAGAACACCCGUGGCGAAGGCGGCUCUCUGGAACGCAACUGACGCUGAGACGCGAAAGCGUGGGGAGCAAACAGG